UUGCCAGACUCCUACGGGAGGCAGCAGUGAGGAAUAUUGGUCAAUGGGCUUACGCCUGAACCAGCCAAGUCGCGUGAGGGAAGACUGCCCUAUGGGUUGUAAACCUCUUUUGUCAGGGAGCAAUUGGCGCUACGUGUAGCGUUAUCGAGAGUACCUGAAGAAAAAGCAUCGGCUAACUCCGUGCCAGCAGCCGCGGUAAUACGGAGGAUGCGAGCGUUAUCCGGAUUUAUUGGGUUUAAAGGGUGCGCAGGCGGAUUUUUAAGUCAGCGGUCAAAUCGUGGGGCUCAACCCCAUCCAGCCGUUGAAACUGGGGAUCUAGAGUGUGCGAGAGGUAUGCGGAAUGCGUGGUGUAGCGGUGAAAUGCAUAGAUAUCGCGCAGAACUCCGAUUGCGAAGGCAGCAUGCCGGCUCCACACUGACGCUGAGGCACGAAAGCGUGGGUAUCGAACAGGAUUAGAUACCCGCGUA
rnacentral:rRNA from 1 species